rnacentral:rRNA from 1 species
UACGUAGGCAGCGAGCGUUGUUCGGAGUUACUGGGCGUAAAGCGUGCGUAGGCGGUGGUCCAAGUCUGGUGUGAAAUCUCCCGGCUUAACUGGGAGGGUGCGCCGGAAACUGGGCCGCUGGAGUACGGGAGAGGCAAGCGGAAUUCCAGGUGUAGCGGUGAAAUGCGUAGAUAUCGAGAGGAACACCUGCGGCGAAGGCGGGUUGCUGGGCUGAUACUGACGCUGAGGCGCGAAAGCCAGGGGAGCGAACGGG